GACGUAGGGCGCGAGCGUUGUCCGGAUUUAUUGGGCGUAAAGAGCUCGUAGGCGGCUUGUCGCGUCGUUCGUGAAAACCUGCAGCUCAACUGCAGGCUUGCGGUUGAUACGGGCGAGGCGUAGAGUUCGGUAGGGGAGACUGGAAUUCCUGGUGUAGCGGUGAAAUGCGCAGAUAGUCAGGAGGAACACCGGUGGCGAAGGCGGUCUCCUGGGGCACUCUUGACGCUGAGGCGACGAAAGCCUGGGGGAGCGAACGGG
rnacentral:rRNA from 1 species